ensembl:ncRNA asRNA:CR46071 antisense RNA:CR46071
AGGCUGACCGCAUGGGCGGAAAUGUAUCCGGAGAAUCCGUCGAGGCAUCCAACUUUGUGCCGGUCUGCCACGCUGGACUGAGCAUUAUUGCAGGUGAAUGUGCCCACUGCGCCGACAUGAACGUUGCAGCAGGAGAUGGGCAGGUCGCCGUUAGGGAAGGCGGUGAUCCAGUCGUUGUAUGAGGUCACACCACAGCACUCGAACUCAUCCUGGAUGUCAUCCCAGAGUUUCGUGGUCGCAUUUGGAUUGAUACUGUUAUACUCGUUCAGCGAGUAAGUCAGAGAAGUUUUGAUCAAAUCGGAGGCGUCAUUGCGCAGCACAUAGCCACUGAUGCCAGCAGCCAGCUCCAGGAUGAAGAUGAUGGCCAGCAUGACCGAGAAGCUGAGCACCAGGCAAUAGUUCUCCUUCAGGGCACCCCAGCAACCAAAGAAAGAGAUUAUGAUGAUGAACGAUCCAAUCACGAUCAGGAACGUGGGGAUCGAGAAGAACUUUCCGGCCAGGAAGAGCUUAUAGCCCGUAUAGACGGCGCCAACUCCGCGUAUACUUCACAGCAUUGGCGCUGCCCGUUAGAAGCGACAUCUUGUUUGUUUUAGUUUAUGCGCUGUAAGAUCAAUAGUAAUAUUAAUAAAAGGCUUUUGACCAAUACGAGAUAUGCUCUUUUUACGGGCCGAAAAUAAAACACAACCGACGCAAAUCGAUUCCGAAAGUUAAAUACGCUGCAGUCGAAACUAAGACACCAAGGAAGGUUUCACUCCCUAUCAACAAAGGCCAAU